rnacentral:misc_RNA from 1 species
GAUGAAGAACGUAGCGAAAUGCGAUACUUGGUGUGAAUUGCAGAAUCCCGUGAACCAUCGAGUCUUUGAACGCAAGUUGCGCCCGAAGCCACUAGGCCGAGGGCACGCCUGCCUGGGCGUCACACGCCGUUGCCCCCCCAUCUACUCCUUCGGGAUUGCGGGGGGGCGGAUGAUGGCCUCCUGUGCGCCUAGCCGCGCGGUUGGCAUAAAUACCAAGUCCUCGGCGACGCACGCCACGACAAUCGGUGGUUGCGAAACCUCGGUUGCCCGUCGUGUGCGUUCGUCGCGCAUCGAGGGCUCGAAAAAAUGCUCGGCUCCGGCUGGGCUUUCAACGCGACCCCAGGUCAGGCGGGGUUACCCGCUAAAUUUAAGCAUAUCAAUAAGCGGAGGA